CUCCUCAUCACGCAAACACAUUGUGUAUGUGCGUACGAUAGGUCAAAAAAUAAUAAAUAUAUAUGUCUGACACAGAACACCGCUAAUGGCACCAACUUAGGUGGGAAUCGAACCCACUUUGACUCAGGACUUUAAACCCUGACGCGUUACCAUACCGCCACACCGCCUACCAUUUAAGCGAUGCCCUGUUGGCAGACAUAUAUAUGAUAAUAUAAUUUUGCUUUUAUCUACC
rnacentral:lncRNA from 1 species